GGAGACUCCGGGCCCAGUGGGUUCAACCUCAUGAGGGAGUGGAGUUGAGAUGCUUUGGGGAUCAGUGACACAACCUCUUACUUGGCUUGGGGUGCAAACCUAGACUCCCUGUCACCCUGGCCUUCUCCUCUCCAAGAGAAGGAGAACUGUGGGCAUCGCAGUGGUGACACUUCAGUUAUCACAGGCUCAGCAGCCAAGUGAAAAGAUGAUGUUGGAAUUUCCUAGAUGAUUCCAUUCAUGGAUUGGCCAUGCAGCAGGUGGUUGAGCACCGUCAAGUACACCCCAGGUUCUCCCAGGCCUGGUUUCUCUUGGCUGAUUCCCUGACAUUAGGAAAUGUUUUCAGCAAAGCCUGUGUAUGACACUUAGAUGGAGCAACCCAUUUCCUAGGAAACUGUUCAUUCUAUA
rnacentral:lncRNA from 1 species